rnacentral:misc_RNA from 1 species
GCCGGCUCUCCGCGAUGGCCAGAUACUCGCCGAGGCAGUCUACAUCAGCGUCGAUCCCUACCAGAGGGCGUACAAGAACAUGCACCAAGUCGGCGCCACCAUGAUCGGCUCACAGGUGGCCCGCAUCGUGGAGAGCCGUGCGGCGGGCUUCCCCGUGGGGCGGUACGUGGUCGGCUACUGGGGGUGGCGCGACCGCACCUUGGCC